rnacentral:rRNA from 1 species
AUUGAACGCUGGCGGCAGGCCUAACACAUGCAAGUCGAACGGUAACAGGAAGCAGCUUGCUGCUUCGCUGACGAGUGGCGGACGGGUGAGUAAUGUCUGGGAAGCUGCCUGAUGGAGGGGGAUAACUACUGGAAACGGUAGCUAAUACCGCAUAAUGUCGCAAGACCAAAGAGGGGGACCUUCGGGCCUCUUGCCAUCGGAUGUGCCCAGAUGGGAUUAGCUUGUUGGUGGGGUAACGGCUCACCAAGGCGACGAUCCCUAGCUGGUCUGAGAGGAUGACCAGCCACACUGGAACUGAGACACGGUCCAGACUCCUACGGGAGGCAGCAGUGGGGAAUAUUGCACAAUGAGCGCAAGCCUGAUGCAGCCAUGCCGCGUGUAUGAAGAAGGCCUUCGGGUUGUAAAGUACUUUCAGCGGGGAGGAAGGGAGUAAAGUUAAUACCUUUGCUCAUUGACGUUACCCGCAGAAGAAGCACCGGCUAACUCCGUG